GCGCAUCCUUCGGGAUGAGCGGCGGACGGGUGAGUAACGCGUGGGAAUAUGCCCUUCUCUAAGGAAUAGCCUCGGGAAACUGAGAGUAAUACCUUAUACGCCCUUCGGGGGAAAGAUUUAUCGGAGAAGGAUUAGCCCGCGUUAGAUUAGGUAGUUGGUGGGGUAAUGGCCUACCAAGCCUACGAUCUAUAGCUGGUUUGAGAGGAUGAUCAGCCACACUGGGACUGAGACACGGCCCAGACUCCUACGGGAGGCAGCAGUAGGGAAUCUUAGACAAUGGGGGAAACCCUGAUCUAGCCAUGCCGCGUGUGUGAUGAAGGCCUUAGGGUCGUAAAGCACUUUCGCCAGAGAUGAUAAUGACAGUAUCUGGUAAAGAAACCCCGGCUAACUCCGUGCCAGCAGCCGCGGUAAUACGGAGGGGGUUAGCGUUGUUCGGAAUUACUGGGCGUAAAGCGCACGUAGGCGGAUUAGUAAGUUAGAGGUGAAAUCCCAGGGCUCAACCCUGGAACUGCCUUUAAUACUGCUAGUCUUGAGUUC
rnacentral:rRNA from 1 species